rnacentral:piRNA from 1 species
UCCCAGCAUGACGUGACUCUGCCCUUUGGU